GUAGGUGAACCUGCGGAAGGAUCAUUAACACGUAUCCAAACGUAAAACCCCCCCCGUGAACCUUGACCCUGCUCUCCUGGCAUUUGUGGAAUCUUUGACGUGUUGCGCGCCCCGCUGGUAUCUCACAUGUUUGUUAUGACUCUGUGUGCCGCGCAACUUCCGAAGAUUUCAUGGAUGAAGUGUGGAUAGAUGCGGGCCGUAAGUACGACUUGUUUGCCCCCGUUGCUUUGUCUGUCAGCGUCAUUGUGAU
rnacentral:misc_RNA from 1 species